AGGGUUUGAUCCUGGCUCAGAGUGAACGCUGGCGGCGUGUUUUAGGCAUGCAAGUCGAACGCGAAAGCCCGCAAGGGCGAGUAGAGUGGCGAAAGGGUGAGUAAUGCAUGGACAACCUACCCCUGGGACUGGAAUAACUAUUGGAAACGAUAGCUAAUGCCAGAUGGUCUUGCGGAGCGGCAUCGCUUUGCAAGUAAAUGGUUGGUCUCGGCCUUCUGCCGAGGGAGGGGUCCAUGUCCUAUUAGCUAGUUGGCGGGGUAACGGCCCACCAAGGCGACGAUGGGUAGCCGGACUAAGAGGUUGGACGGCCACACUGGGACUGAGAUACUGCCCAGACUCCUACGGGAGGCUGCAGUCGAGAAUCUUCCGCAAUGGACGCAAGUCUGACGGGGCGACGCCGCGUGUAGGAUGAAGGCCUUCGGGUUGUAAACUACUGUUGCAUUUUAGGAACACCGAGGGGUGAAUAGCCCUCUUGGGUGACCAUGAUGUGAGGAAGCACAGGCUAACACCGUGCCAGCAGCCGCGGUAAUACGGUGUGUGCAAGCGUUACUCGGAAUCACUGGGCAUAAAGAGCACGUAGGCUGGCUCGCAAGUCGGAUGUGAAAUCCCCCAGCUCAACUGGGGAACUGCAUCCGAUACUGCGGGUCUUGAGGACGAAAGGGGAGAGUGGAACUUCUGGUGGAGCGGUGAAAUGCGUAGAUAUCAGAAGGAACACCGGUGGCGAAGGCGACUCUCUGGUUCGUUUCUGACGCUGAGGUGCGAAAGCGUGGGUAGCAAACGGGAUUAGAUACCCCGGUAGUCCACGCCGUAAACGAUGAACACUAGGGAGGGGAAACUCCACGUUUUCCCUCCUGGAGCUAAUGUUUUAAGUGUUCCGCCUGGGGAGUACAGUCGCAAGGCCGAAACUCAAAGGAAUUGACGGGGGCUCACACAAGCGGUGGAGCAUGUGGUUCAAUUCGAAGCAACGCGCAAAACCUUACCUAGGUUUGACAUGCAGGGAUUAGUUUGUGGAAACAUAGAUGACACCCGAAAGGGUGGAACUUGCACAGGUGCUGCAUGGCUGUCGUCAGCUCGUGUCGUGAGAUGUCGGGUUAAGUCCCUUAACGAGCGAAACCCUUACUGCUAGUUACCAUCAGGUUAUGCUGGGGACUCUAGCGGGACUGCCGUGGUCAACACGGAGGAAGGUGGGGAUGACGUCAAGUCCUCAUGGCCUUUAUACCUAGGGCAACACACGUGCUACAAUGGUCGGUACAAAGCGUCGCGAAGUCGCAAGGCGGAGCUAAUCGCAAAAAACCGACCCCAGUACAGAUUGCGGGCUGCAAUUCGCCCGCAUGAAGUUGGAAUCGCUAGUAAUCGCGCAUCAGCAGGGGCGCGGUGAAUAUGUUCCUGAGCCUUGUACACACCGCCCGUCAAGCCAUGGGAGCCAGCAGUACCCGAAGUCGCUGACCUAACCCGCAAGGGAAGGAGGUGCCUACGGUAAGGCUGGUGACUGGGACUAAGUCGUAACAAGGUAGCCGUAGGAGAACCUGCGGCUG
rnacentral:rRNA from 1 species